AACCAUAUUAUAUGUGAGGACUCAUUAUAACCGUUGGAUCAAUUACAUGCAACGGCCACAAUUAAAUAUCAAUUAAAACUAGAGAAGCAUCUGAUUCAGAGGCAACAGUGGGAGUUGGAGUAGAUUGUUCUGGAAUCAUCAAUUUCCAAUCAAAUGUUCAUCCUUUUUCAUGCGAUUUUACUCAUUUAUCUCUCUUCUAUACUCUGCAUCAUCACGAAGAAUUCGAUUUUUUCGUGUUUAUCAAUUUAAAUCAACUCGUUGUAGAAACCCCAAUUUCAAAAAAAUGAGCUCUCCAAUGGAGAUUUCAGUCCCUAAAGCCAAAUCUACUGAACCUGAAGCCGAAACUAGUUGUGGUUAGCAGGACGUGGGUCUUUGUAGGUGGGAUUAUGUGUGGGUUUGGAGGAGGGUGGUGCCGUGGUGGGCAGUGGAUACUGGUCGAAAGAACGAGGUGAGGAGUUUUUCAAAAUUUCGAGUGGGUCUCCUACGGUGGCGAUUGAUUGAUUAUGUUCUUGAUGUUGUACGCAAACAACCUGAGAAUUGUGACUGCUUACAAGGUAUUCGACGAAAUGCCUCACUGAAUUUUUUUUCAUUUUUCUUUCAUUUUUGUUUUAAAUUUUGUGUUUUUGUUUUCUGGUGUUGGAUCUGAAUGUGAAUAUUUCAGAGCUCUAAAUCUAAGUAUAAUUGCAAGAAAUUGAUUAAGGCUAUAAUUUUGUUGCUUAAGCUUGCUGUGUAGAUGAUCUGAACUUCUGAAGUGUGUAUAUGGGGUUGUUGAGAGUAGUUGUAUUCUUUUGUUGAGACUAGAAUACCAAGUGUCAUGUCCCUUUGCUGAUAGUUGUUAAAUGUAUUAUGUUCCCUUCACCAUGUUCCUCCUUUGCUGAUUGAGUUUUGUCCCAAAAAAACUCUAAAAUCAACAUUUACUUUAUUAUCUAUUUAUUGUACUUUAUCUACCCUCCAUUUCUUGGACUUUGUAUCCGUACUCAUGUAUAUGCAGUUUUCAGAAGAGGCAGGCUCAAUCUAAUUCGAAGAGUCGAAGUGAGAAGUUGAUGCGGAAUCUAAGGUAAGGUUAGGUGUUUCGGGUUAUGGGUUAAGUGUUUAGGCUAGGUGUUUACGUGGAAAAAGGUAAGGAACGGGAACGAGUUCCUUAGGGUGAGGAACUGAAGGUUUGAUUAGCAAGGAACACUCGCAAUACUAAUCAAGGAUAGGUAUGGUUAGAGUUGAACACUCACUUUACUAACCAUAAGACAAGCUAACCCCAAACACUUUGAGUUAAGCUCACAAACUCGAGUCCACGAAUUCAAGUAACUUGAAUCCACAAGUUAAAAUAAGAAAUAACACAAGGUAUAUUUCAAAGUUAAAUAUUUCAUUUAUAAUAGUCUGAUUACAAAAGCUAGACUAGACUUCCUUUUAUAGACUAAGGAAGUAGUUACAUUAAUUAACUGACUUAGCUAAUUUAAGAAAAGGAACUUAAAAGUUGCCAACAAAAGGGAACUCAACAGUCGCCACAAUGAGCAGUCCCUCAAUGUAAUAGUUCCAUGCAAACCGUCAUACAUUGAAGACUAAUAAUUGCUGCUGUUCCUUAACGAGUUCCUUAAUCAGUUCCUUGGGGAACUCGCUGUAGAUGCGCACAACUUUCUUCCUUGUAACGGCUGACAAUUACAACUUUUAUUACAGCACUUAAGCUAAGCUAAUUACUACUAUAAACUAAAAAUAAAACAUAAAAAUAAGUAGUAAUAAAAAGCAAUUAAACUAAGGAGGUUAUACUCCAUGAAUGGCGCCCAAACAAGUGAAUAAAAACCCACUUGAAUGCUUACUUAACGUGUGUAACCCCCUCUUUAUUUCCCUUGUCUUGGCUGCCUUCAAAUCAGAAAGGAACAAGGAAUAUUCCUCCCCCAAUGCUCAUGAAAAUAUCUAAGGCAUCCAAGGCAAAUUAAUUCCAUGCUUACUCAUCCAUCCAAGUCACGCAUGACUUGUACAAAGACGAGGAUAUGUCAAAACCCAUGCGUGGAACAUGGUCAAGUUUGGACCCAAGAAUGAACAGCCCAUAGACAAUAGGAGUUUGAUUCUUUUGGACCCUUGAACGUGUGUUUGGACCACUUGACUCAUUGGCUUGCACAAACUCUUGAUCAAGGACCAAUUCCGGAUAAAAAGUUUAAUCCUCACCAGGAAAAGGUUGCUUCUGGCUUUCCAAUUAAACCCCCUAGAGUAUCUCAAGCAACAGAAGAUUCUGGUAUAAGCAGGCAUGGGCACCAUCAUAAGAGAGCAUCACAUUCAGAACCACUUGUUAACCCUGCACCAUGGGUGAAGGCUGGGAAGAACUUGGAUGAUGCUCCCAAAGUGUUUAAUGGGGCUGAUACAUCAACAUUGUCUGGUCGAAUGACAACGAGGAGGAGCUUCUUAAAGAAUCGAGGACAAGAGAGAAAAGUCUAGUUCUCUGCAAUCUAAUGCUCCAAAACUAGUAGCGAGGUUCCUCGGAUCAUUUAAAGAAUCGUCAGAGUCUAUGAAGAGGCGAGAUCAAGCAGAUCAAAGGCAGGGUCUUGCAAGUUCUCAUCAAAACAUAGAUGGAAGAAGUGGCAAUAAUGAUCCUGUGCUUCUUAGCUAUGGGUCAAAGGGCAGCAAAAUUCACUACUCAGGACCUCUAAUAGUCCCUUCAAGCAACAUGGAUCAGAUGUUGAAAGAUCAUGAUCACCAUAUUCAAGAAGCUGUAAGGAGAAUACGAAUAGACAAGGCUAAACUCAGAAAGAUGCAGGCUGAAGGAAAGCAGGUAUCGUCCACUUCAUUGUUUGUUGCUCGCCGCUGAAGCAGAGUAGGUAAAAUCAUUGUAAAGAUUUAGAGCACAAAUUUGGCUAGAAAGAGAUUGCCGCAGAAAGCUGAAAUAUGUGAUUUUUUUCUUCUAGAGCAACGAGUCACGUUUCAUUUGGGAGAAAUCUAUUUUUUUUUUUUUUUUUUUUUCCUUGUACAGUUUUAACUUACUCAGUUAAGUUGGCUAAUAUAGCUGUUUUGCUGCCAAGCUUGUGGCUCCUCCAAUUAAUUUACAGCUCACAUGUAAUCAGCUAUUUAUCUGCAAAUACUGUAUCAAUACAUGACAUUCUUGUAGUGUUAAUGUUCUUCAGUAAUAUUAGCAUACUAAGCAGUCAAUUAACGUAA